rnacentral:lncRNA from 1 species
UUUCUGUAUAUUUUGUGCGAUUUUGUCUCGUGUACACUUACUCCACAUCUCUUUGUUUUCUAUUUAGGACCUGGAUACGGCUCAAUGCUAGUUAAGCCCUCCAAUUUUAAAGGCCAUAUGUUUUUUUUUUAAAUAAUUGAUGCCGCAGGAUUGAAAUUUUUAGCUUUAAUGUAACCCAUGUCAGCUUUUUAACUUGUAUUUACA